rnacentral:rRNA from 1 species
GUGGAUUAGAUACCCCAGUAGUCCACGCCGUAAACGAUGUCGACUAGCCGUUGGGAUCCUUGAGAUCUUAGUGGCGCAGCUAACGCGAUAAGUCGACCGCCUGGGGAGUACGGCCGCAAGGUUAAAACUCAAAUGAAUUGACGGGGGCCCGCACAAGCGGUGGAGCAUGUGGUUUAAUUCGAAGCAACGCGAAGAACCUUACCUGGCCUUGACAUGCUGAGAACUUUCCAGAGAUGGAUUGGUGCCUUCGGGAACUCAGACACAGGUGCUGCACGGCCGUCGCCAGCU